rnacentral:rRNA from 1 species
GAUGAGCGCUGGCGGCGUGCCUAAUACAUGCAAGUCGAGCGAACGGACGAGAAGCUUGCUUCUCUGAUGUUAGCGGCGGACGGGUGAGUAACACGUGGAUAACCUACCUAUAAGACUGGGAUAACUUCGGGAAACCGGAGCUAAUACCGGAUAAUAUUUUGAACCGCAUGGUUCAAAAGUGAAAGACGGUCUUGCUGUCACUUAUAGAUGGAUCCGCGCUGCAUUAGCUAGUUGGUAAGGUAACGGCUUACCAAGGCAACGAUGCAUAGCCGACCUGAGAGGGUGAUCGGCCACACUGGAACUGAGACACGGUCCAGACUCCUACGGGAGGCAGCAGUAGGGAAUCUUCCGCAAUGGGCGAAAGCCUGACGGAGCAACGCCGCGUGAGUGAUGAAGGUCUUCGGAUCGUAAAACUCUGUUAUUAGGGAAGAACAUAUGUGUAAGUAACUGUGCACAUCUUGACGGUACCUAAUCAGAAAGCCACGGCUAACUACGUGCCAGCAGCCGCGGUAAUACGUAGGUGGCAAGCGUUAUCCGGAAUUAUUGGGCGUAAAGCGCGCGUAGGCGGUUUUUUAAGUCUGAUGUGAAAGCCCACGGCUCAACCGUGGAGGGUCAUUGGAAACUGAAAAACUUGAGUGCAGAAGAGGAAAGUGGAAUUCCAUGUGUAGCGGUGAAAUGCGCAGAGAUAUGGAGGAACACCAGUGGCGAAGGCGACUUUCUGGUCUGUAACUGACGCUGAUGUGCGAAAGCGUGGGGAUCAAACAGGGUUAGAUACCCUGGUAGUCCACGCCGUAAACGAUGAGUGCUAAGUGUUAGGGGGUUUCCGCCCCUUAGUGCUGCAGCUAACGCAUUAAGCACUCCGCCUGGGGAGUACGACCGCAAGGUUGAAACUCAAAGGAAUUGACGGGGACCCGCACAAGCGGUGGAGCAUGUGGUUUAAUUCGAAGCAACGCGAAGAACCUUACCAAAUCUUGACAUCCUUUGACAACUCUAGAGAUAGAGCUUUCCCCUUCGGGGGACAAAGUGACAGGUGGUGCAUGGUUGUCGUCAGCUCGUGUCGUGAGAUGUUGGGUUAAGUCCCGCAACGAGCGCAACCCUUAAGCUUAGUUGCCAUCAUUAAGUUGGGCACUCUAAGUUGACUGCCGGUGACAAACCGGAGGAAGGUGGGGAUGACGUCAAAUCAUCAUGCCCCUUAUGAUUUGGGCUACACACGUGCUACAAUGGACAAUACAAAGGGCAGCGAAACCGUGAGGUCAAGCAAAUCCCAUAAAGUUGUUCUCAGUUCGGAUUGUAGUCUGCAACUCGACUACAUGAAGCUGGAAUCGCUAGUAAUCGUAGAUCAGCAUGCUACGGUGAAUACGUUCCCGGGUCU